ACGCUCGGGGUCUGAGUGUGUGCCGUUGCUGGUGUCCGCGAACGCACUUGCAUUCACAGUGCUCGCAUCGAUCCUCCCUGGCCCGGCGCUCAGCUCUGUGUAAGCACCAGUGGAGCCCCCCUCCCGGGUCUCGAAGGAUGCGCUUGACCAGCUCUGAGUGCCCGCUCCCGAAGAGCAGGGACAAAGCGGUGCAUCUAGGCACCCAGUGCUUGUGAAGUUAAAAUAUAGCGCGAACUCUUCACUGCCAGAGAGUGGACUGAAUGUCAAUUCUCCAAGAAAAGAUUUAAAAAGCAUAAUUUUUUAUUAAUUAAUGGUCUGUAGGUGGUUGUUUAUACAUUAAAGCAGUUCCUGUGCAGUCUCCUUACGACACAAGAUAAGAAGGUCCCUUGCAGCUUCCUGGUAAUGAAUGACCCGAGAAUAACACCGCUACAACCUGCGGGAAAAGGAGAGUCGUUUGCCCGACCCAAGAUCUGCAGGAUUGAAAUGAAAUGUUUUGAGCUCUUCAAGCUGACUCAUCAGAAUCCUGAAGCGUUUUUUUAAAUGACGGUAAUUUUCUAAUGUUUUCAUUUGUACGUAUGGAAACACUUGUGUGUGUGCGCGCGUGUGCGCGAGUGUUUACGUGUGAGAGACAUGCGGCUGAAUGACAAUGCAGAUCCAGAAAUUGGGGAAGAGGGUUUGUGCUCUCAAAACGUAGAUGAAGUUUGAGCCGACUUGGGGGCAUUUGCUGAGAGCCAGAGGUGGAGAUGAGAACGUGGAGAGAUGGCCAGAUUUGCCUGUAAAUAAUCACUACAUCUACUGUAACGCUUGAGCUGCAUUUUUUUUUUUUCUUCUGGUAGCAGUUGUUUGAAAGGGGAACUCUCUGCAAACGUGGGUUACAGGCGUCUCCUAGCGGCGAAAGCAGCAUAGGGCAAGCCAGAGAAUUUUGCUUUGGAGCUCUCCUUCGGCAGGGCUCGCCUGUUGGGGGCUCUGCAGGAUUUCUUGGGUCGCCGAGGCCUCUGUACGCGCCGGCGACGCGAGCCCGGGUCCUCUAGAGGUCUCGCAUCUCUGACUUCUAGUCUCCGAGGCGCCCCGGCCCCCACGAGAAAACGCUGGGGUCUUCUGCCGCGAAGGACAGACCCGCGCCCGGCCGCCCGCCUCCCUCUAGGCAGCCCCAGCCAAGGGCAAUUGCAAGAGCAUUUAGUUCGGGCCAAGAUUCAGAUACUGGGGUUGUCUUCUCUACCUCCUUACCCUGGAACCAUUAAACAGCCUCACCCCGUGAACCACAAAACAAAUACUUUAAAGGUUCCUUUAAAAAAUGCCUCCUAAAUGUAACCAGUUUACUUUCUACCUUGCUGUAAAAAAUCAACCAGAUUUUUUUCCUGUUUCCUUUUUUUUUUUUCACUCUCCUUUCGGUAGACCCCAGAAAUUAGUGAGGCCGUAUUAUAUAAAUAACAACCUCGGUGGUGGGGUUGACGACCUCUUUGAGUGCAGAAUAUCAUGUGUACUAUGUGUACUGUUUCCCUCGACGUCCCCCCCCCCCCUUACUGGAACCGGAAGGGAGAAGCAAUCUCUAGGGAACAGAACCCCCCUCCAGGAGCGCCAACCAACCAUCUGGGCCAAAACAAAUUUCAUCCUAAAACAGAGGGAGAUAGUAGUUAUUAUUUGGAGGAGGGUUAUCAAAAUCAAUUUUCAUAGAAGUCCUGCUUGGUGUAUGAGAGUGAUAAUGCAUAUUCGUCUAUUUCACCGGGCUCCAAAUGCAGCAGAAAUGGCGGGGUGGGGGCAGCUAAGGAUCCCACAAAGGAGUUCUAUACACAGAGUUACAAACUUUGAAACUAGGCAACGGGUUGCUUUCUUCCCUACCCUUUUCUAGAAAAGGCAGGAGGGAAACAAGUUUGUUAACCAGCGUUUGGAUAAAUGAGUGUUUGCAAUGACUUAACUUGACUUGAAAGCAAUUUGUUUCUAAAUCCUUUUAUUAUUGCAGUGUGCCCAGAGCUUUGAGAGAAGAUUUUUUUUUAAAGAAAUGGGAGAAAAAAAUUAAAAUUGUCAAUAAGGAGUCUUUCAAACACUAGGCUCGGCCAGGAUUGAGCUGGAUGGUUCCUGGCACUUGUCAUUCCCAGCAAGGAACCAACACCAAGGACCUGGACCACGUGGCAUCUCUUAUGGGUGAAAGUGACUAGUGGUUUUUAAACAGCCAAUGUGUGCCAAGUAUUCUUACGUAAGUUAUAACAUUUUCCCCCAUAUCUAUAAGUAUUAUCAUCCCAAUAAUAUAGAUAAGGAUACUAAGGAUGUUCAGAAUUUAAAUAACUCAUCAAAUUAAUACAAAAUUCAAAUCUAGGCCUUUUGGUGCCUAGGCUCAUUUAAUGCACUAUGAUGUUUCUCUUCUCUAUCUGAGUUGGAUUUACUUGGGAGGUAAAACAAAAAGUGAAUUAAUUUAAAGAUGGGCUUUACUCAGAUUUUGUACUGACAGGAGUACUGGUUUUAUCCUAGUCAAAACGGCUGGUAUGUCAUUGAGUUGAGCCGUGGAGGAAUUCAUACAUAUAUUUGAGGGGUUUUUUUUUUUUUUUGAGGUUUUGUCAGGAAACCAAAGCUUGAAUAUGUUUUCUUACAAGUGAAUGAGGUUGUAAGCAACCAUCUCUUUCUCAUGCAGAAAUGCUUAAUAUGAGAGUCAUAGAUUUUAGUAACUGAAAAUGGAAAUUGAUAACACAAAUGCGUCCAAAAGGAAGGAAGCUCUGCUCCAUCCAUUCAUGAAAAACACCAUGUUGAUCAAUGGUCCCUGAAGCAUUGCCUUGCUCACUUAAUCAGAGGUUAACAGCCAGGAAAAAACAAGAAGAACACCCAUUUUACACAAUGCAACUGUUAGUGUUUAUUUGUAUAUAUUUCUGAACUGAUCUUUAAUUUAAAAGGGAAACUUUGUUUCAUUAAGCAAAAUUUCAGCUAUCCCUUUAUACUAAUUUCUUCAAUGUUGCUCAGAAAAGAUUGUUUUAAUUUGAAAUUUCUGGCAAUUAAACAAUUAAAUUUAGUUUACAAUCUUGUACCAGUAGAAAAUGGAAGGAAACAAAAAUAACUUUAAAUAUGCAAAGAAAUAGACAAAAGAAGAUGAUUGUGAAGUCUUAUUUGCUUACUGUAGGUAAAAUAUGUAUUGCUAUUUUGGUAAUAAGUAUUGACAGAAGAAAAAUAUCAUACUUCUUUUAAAGGGUGCCCAGUAAUUCAGAGUAUGUGUAAUGUGGGCCCUAUAAGGUAUGUUCUAUAUCUUACUCACUUUGGAAGGCACCCAACUGUGGCAGGCCAUGAUACAGUAUGUUAAGAAGAACAUAAACUUGAGAAUUAAACCAAAUUGGGCUCAAAUCUCUGCUUCUCCAAAUAUUUGAACUUUGUCAAAUUCCUUGACUCCUCUGAAACUGUGUCAAAGUGUGCCAACUGUUCUAAACAUCUGUUAAAAUAUAUAUUGACCUUAUUGAGUCAGUGUGAGGCUUAAACUGAAAUGAUAUAUGUAAAAUUCUUGGCCCACAGUAGACUCUCAGUAAAUGUUAAGUAUUAUUAUGGCAAGGUGUUUUGAAUGAGGUAGUCCUUAAAUAAGAUAUUUAUCGAGAAUAAUUCUCAUUGAUUUUCCUGGUGGUUUUAUUUCCUUUAUGAAACACAAACUAAAGUAUUUACUUUGAGGUGCAAAAACAAUUUUACAUUGUCCCUAUUUUGCAGGAAAUUAUCAUUUUGAAGACUAGAUGCAAAUAAUAAAUGAAGAAGACUAACUAAAUUUUAAGUGGACUUCAAAACAUAAAAAUCAAUAAUGAUCUUUUUUCAUAAUCAUGUUGUUUUAACACUGUUAUUUGCUUCC